rnacentral:rRNA from 1 species
UACGUAGGGCGCAAGCGUUGUCCGGAAUUAUUGGGCGUAAAGAGCUCGUAGGCGGCCUGUUACGUCUGCUGUGAAAUCCCGGGGCUUAACCCCGGGCGUGCAGUGGAUACGGGCAGGCUGGAGGCAGGCAGGGGAGAACGGAAUUCCUGGUGUAGCGGUGAAAUGCGCAGAUAUCAGGAGGAACACCGGUGGCGAAGGCGGGUCUCUGGGCAGCAACUGACGCUGAGGAGCGAAAGCGUGGGGAGCGAACAGG